rnacentral:rRNA from 1 species
AGCGAACGCUGGCGGCAGGCCUAACACAUGCAAGUCGAACGAAGGUCCGGAGCUUGCUCUGGAUACCUUAGUGGCGCACGGGUGAGUAACACGUGGGAAUCUACCUUGGAGCGGGGAAUAACGAUUGGAAACGAUCGCUAAUACCGCAUACGCCCUUCGGGGGAAAGGCUUCGGCCACUCCUAGAUGAUCCCGCGCCCGAUUAGCUUGUUGGUGAGGUAACGGCUCACCAAGGCUACGAUCGGUAGCUGGUCUGAGAGGAUGAUCAGCCACACUGGGACUGAGACACGGCCCAG